rnacentral:tRNA from 1 species
GGCCUCAUAGCUCAGUUGGAUAGAGCAACGGAUUUCUAAUCCGUAGGUCGUAGGUUCGAGUCCUACUGGGGCUG